CUCCUCCAGCCUCAAAGCACAGAAGCAUUCGUGUUACUGAUGAUCACACAUGAGCAUGUUCUGUUCUGUUUGCUGACACGAUUCAGCGUCACGUCAGGCCCCGAAGGAAGCAGUCCUGAUUAAUCAAGAUUACAAAAACAACAAAAGCAAAGCAUCUUUUGCCUCAUUGACUCCACUCACAGUACGUCACCAUGUCUGCUGAGUCCCGCAGCAAAGGUCCUGAUGACAUUGGGAUUGCUUCUGCGUCCUUCCACAUUGCUAGCCUGUGCGUGGGCAAUCCAGCCCUCAUUUGGGCCCUCCACACUCUGUACCGCAGGCACAAGAACGGAGGCCGAGUGUCAGUCUGCAUGGUGUUUCUCCUCCUGAACGUCGUUCUCCAAUCAGCCUUUAGUCCACCUGUAAUAAAAGAGUGUCUAAACAUCCCCUGCAGCUCAAAGGCUUGUUACUGGACUGCUAAACUGUUUGAAAUGGUUGAGCCCUGUGGGCUCCACUUGCACCAGCUUGUGGCGCUGGAGAGCAUACUGUCUCUGAGACAUCCACUCUACACCACAGACCUUUUUUCCCGUCCCUGUUCAGUUUCACUCUGUGUCGGCCUGUACGUCCUUGCUUGCAUGUCUUUUCUUAUUCAGAAAGAGUUUGCAUUCUGUCUAACGUCAGUUCCAAUAUUAAUGGUCACGAUCGUGUUUACCUUUAAAGCCCCUCCUUCACAUCAUGUCCCAAAUACAAAUAGAAAGCCAAGAUGCUGGGUGCUUGCUUUUGCCAUGGUUACGAUUGCUCUUUAUUUGCCCAAUUUGU